rnacentral:pre_miRNA from 1 species
AUAAUACUCCCUCCGUUCGAAAAUACUUGUCAUAGGAAUGGAUGUAUCUAGAUGUAUUUUAGUUCUAGAUACAUCCAUUUUUAUACAUUUAUGCGACAAGUAAUUCCGGAUGGAGGGAGUAGUAC